rnacentral:rRNA from 1 species
CAGUCGCCGCGGUAAUACGUAGGUGGCGAGCGUUGUCCGGAAUUAUUGGGCGUAAAGCGCGCGCAGGUGGUUUAAUAAGUCUGAAGUGAAAGCCCACGGCUCAACCGUGGAGGGUCAUUGGAAACUGUUAAACUUGAGUGCAGGAGGGAAAAGUGGAAUUCCUAGUGUAGCGGUGAAAUGCGUAGAGAUUAGGAGGAACACUAGUGGCGUAGGCGGCUUUUUGGCCUGUAACUGACACUGAGGCGCGGAAGCGUGGGGAGCAAACAGGAUUAGAUACCCUAGUAGUCCCUGUCUCUUAUAC